UACGUAGGGUGCGAGCGUUGUCCGGAAUCACUGGGCGUAAAGGGCGCGUAGGCGGCUUCGUGAAGGUCAGUGGUGAAAGCCCAGGGCUCACUCUGGGUCGGCCACUGAUACUCGCGAGCUCGAGUUUGGUAGAGGCAGAUGGAAUUCCGGGGUGUAGCGGUGGAAUGCGUAGAGAGUCCGGAAGAACACCCGGUGGCGAAGGCGGUCUGCUGGGCCAAGACUGACGCUGAGGCGCCGACAGCGUGGGGGAGCAAACGAGGAUUAGAAACCCCGAGGUAG
rnacentral:rRNA from 1 species